rnacentral:rRNA from 1 species
CACUAGUGAUUCUCCUGGAAACGGGUGGUAAUGCCGGAUGCUCCAGUCCAUCGCAUGGUGGUCUGGGAAAGAUUUCAUCGGUAUGGGAUGGGGUCGCGUCCUAUCAGGGAGUCGGCGGGGUUACCGCCCCACCGACCUAACAAAUGUUUUUGGCCUUUGUGGCCGAAUGGUUUCUU